GGGGCGAGCUGCAGCCCCAGUGAAUCAAAUGCAGC
rfam:Feline immunodeficiency virus complete genome.